rnacentral:lncRNA from 1 species
AUUGCUUCGGUUGAAAUUGGACAAAUCAUGCGAAGGAUAUAACGAGCAAUUUUAUAAAAUAAAUUUGUCGUAAUCUUUUACGGUUGCGAAGGAGUUGUGGACACAAGGAAAACAGUGUUUGGGGAGAUAACUCCUACAAAGAAAAGUAUUCGGUUACACAGGGUAAAUUUCAAAAGCGCAUAAACUGUUCGAUAUCAUAUACCAAAUAC